GAGGCACACUCGAAGGCCAUGCCUUCUCAACCCCAAAGAAAUCGAAAGAAAGGUCCUCCCUCCCCCUUUGGCUCGACUUCGGCGAUUGGAGAAGAGAUCUCCGGCGAUGAGUCCGUGGGAAGAUCAAGGUGGUUGUCAGAGACUGACGAAGAGGUGCGCGUGGUGGCCUUGCUGGUGAAGAGCGGCGGUUGAAGAGGGGGACUAGGGUUUGUUUGCUUGCUGAAAAUUUUUGAUAGCUAGUGGGCUAGGGUUAGUUGGUUUUGGGCUUUUGUAAUUGGGUCUGAUGGGUUUGGCUUAGUGGUUAGGUGGGUUAAGGUUUGUUUAGGCCUGGGCCAAAAUUGGGCUGUAUAUAUACAAUUGAAUAAAAAUAAAAGUUUCAUAUAUAUGAAUACAUGAUUUUAAAAUUUGCACAGUAAA